AUGGUUGACACCCCCCAUGGUUGACACCUCCCAUGGUUGAUGUCUCACAGGUGCCAGGUCCCGUGGGUUCUCCAGCCCCACGGAUGCCCUGCCCCACUGAUUCCCUGCCCCACAAGUGCCCUGCCCCACAAAUUACGUGCCCCACAAGUAACACCACCUGUGGUUGACACCUCCCAUGGUUGACACCCCCCAUGGUUGAUGCCCCACGGGUGCCACGUCCCAUGGGUUCUCCAGCCCCAUGGGUUCUCCAGCCCCACUGAUUCCCCUGCCCCACGGCUCCCCUGCCCCACGGCUUCCCCUGCCCCACGGCUUCCUGCCCCCCAGGUGGAAGCCGCAGCUGCAGGAGCUGCUGAAGCUGCCGGCCUUCAUGAGGGUGUCCUCCACCGGGAACAUGCUGAGCCACGUGGGACACACCAUCCUGGGCAUGAACACCGUCCAGCUCUACAUGAAGGUGCCCGGCAGCCGCACCCCCGGUCACCAGGAGAACAACAACUUCUGCUCCGUCAACAUCAACAUCGGCCCCGGGGACUGCGAGUGGUUCGCGGUGCACGAGCACUACUGGGAGACCAUCUCCGCCUUCUGCGACAAGUGAGGGCGGGGCCUGGGGGUGGGCGUGGCCCUGGGGGCGUGCCCAAAGAGGGUGGGGGCGGUGGGCGUGGCCUGGGGCG
rnacentral:lncRNA from 1 species